CAUGGCGGUUGCUGUACGCUCAUUCUGGAAUAUAUUUCGACGGAGGAAGUUGAACUCUAAAAUGAAAAUAAUAAUGAGUAAUAUUCAUUCUAAUCAUUUUGUUAGAUAAAAUUUUAUUUUUAUUUUAAUUUUAAAGGUGCCUCAAUUCUUUAAAAUCUAAUUUGGACUAUCUUCUACCAUUUAGAUCCCAUUUGAAUUCAGAUUCUAAUUUCAACCACAA
rnacentral:lncRNA from 1 species